AACACCCGACCAACCGCCAAAUGCAGGUGAAUUUUGCAAUUGGCGGGUAACACUGUCAAUCUGCCUGCCACACUGGCAGGUAGCCAAUGAGAAUUGAGGGAUUCAGAUGCUUAACUUUCAGUAAGCAGGGUACUUGGUUGCUUACGGGCCCGGACCAAUUAGGGGCCAGCAUCACUGGAAGACAUUGAUUGACAGCCGGGGCCCCCUGUCGCAUUUUCAUUACUCGCGACAAUCCCAGC